rnacentral:lncRNA from 1 species
UGACUGCCCUUCAAGGUUUGGAGACAAACACACGACUAUUGCACUUUCACACGCAAUCAAUUGCUAAGCAAGAAUCCCAAAUGGGUCAACUAGCCAAUGCAUUAAACAAGCGAGAGAAAGGUAAGCUUCCAAGUCAACCAAUGAGUAAUCCUAGGGGACACAAUACGUGGCUCAAGAAACUUGACUAAAUCAUGAGCAAGCCAAUGCUUUGACUACCCUUAGGAGUGGACGUGUGAUAGAUAAUAAGGUUGGGGAGGGUAACAACAAGGAAGAUGAAGAAAAGGAGAGGAAUGUAUCACAUGAAAAUCCAAAACCUUCUUCAGUUAAUCCACCAUC